GCAUGCGUUUUAUGCUUCGUGGUUUGCAAUAGAGUGCCUGCAGCGGGAAGUCGGUGACAAUCACAGCGAUAAGGAUAGUAGAAAUCCCAACUUGUAGGCUUCAUGGGGUUAGCUCCCAGGUUGUCCAAUCUCCUAUUUGACGAGAAAUAACGGGGCGAUACUCUCAUUUUCUGUUCGAAAGGUGCUGCUAACCGCCCGAAUAUUUUGAAAGGUACCAAAAGAGAGAUCUGGUGAGGGAAAAAUCAUACACAAAAACGAAUUCUAAAGGAGUGUUAAGAAGUGAUCAAUUGCUUUUUGAGCUCCCUCAUGAGGGA
rnacentral:sRNA from 2 species